ACGAAUUUCAUUCUGUUUGAAAAAAUUGGAUAUUCCAUUGCUUGGAAUGUUGUAGGUAUUUCUUCUUCCUUAUUUCUCUUAUUCCCUUCCAUUAGUUUCCUUUUUAUUGGUUUUGUGAAAAAAAAAUGGGAUUUAUCUCCCUCAUUGUUAAAAUAUAAUGGCUCUUUGAAAUUUUUAUAAACUUAAAGAUAGCUAUUACACGAUUUGGAAGCAUCUAUAUUAUCUUCUUCCGAACUUGUUCUAUUCCCCGCUGCAGUUCUCUUGCAAUAAAGUUGAGUUAAAAUUUUUUUUAUUAUCUCCAAAGUUCUAUUCCCGCUACAGUUAUCUUGCAAAAAACUAGAGGUAAUUGUUUUUAUUAACUCCAAAGUUCUGUUCCCACUGCAGUCCUCUUGCAAAAACCUUGAGGUAAAAUUUUUUUAAUUAACUCCUAAAUCCAAAAAAGAUUUAGAUUUAAAAUCCACCUCCUAAAAAUACAAAAAUCAAUAAAUAUGUUGAUUGGAAAUAUGAGUGAUUUUGCUUGUAUUAGUUCAGUGGAUGUUCAAUCAGCCAUGGAUUGUUUUUUAUUUUUUGUCCUUUUGGAAAUUAAAGAAUAGAUGUUGUGGCUUUCCUAUAAGACAUUCAUAUUGGCAUGAACUAAGCUUAUCUACAUUUAUCCAAAGUACUAUUCAUCUCAUGAAAAAUUCUGUUUCAUGAACGUUCAAAACAUAUUGAUGUAAAAUUACACUUCAUUAGAGAUAAUAUAAAGUGGAUAAAUUUUAAUUUAAAAUUGUUAGUUUGUUAUUAUUUACAUUUAUAUAAUUUUUUUAAUCUCAAUAUAUAAUGGAGAGGUGCAUUGUGGUUGGGAAUUCAAAUUCCUCAAUGGAGGUUGUGGAUGACGCAAGCAUGAAGUGUGUUGCAUUAGCUAGCAAACAUCCAUUGUAUGAGCUUGGAGCUGCAAACCUUUUGGUGUAACAACUUAAUGAGCUCUCCGUUGUUGAUUUGAAGAAUCUUGCCGUUGUUUUUCCUGAAUUUUAUUCAGGUGAGCCAGAUAUGGAAUUGGAGGAAGAAGACAAGCCUCCUGCUUCAUCUGUUGCUGUCAAUGAUCACUUCUGGUUAGGACCGAACCUUCCCAAUGUGAAUUCUUUCAGUACUGUGAUUCUUAGAAGUAGCUAUGGAGCAACAUUUUCUUUUGGAUUCAAUGACAUUGAAGAACUUAACAUGGCUCCUAGUUGUAG